UACGUAGGGUGCGAGCGUUGUCCGGAAUUAUUGGGCGUAAAGGGCUCGUAGGCGGUUUGUCGCGUCGGGAGUGAAAACCAGGUGCUUAACACCUGGCUUGCUUUCGAUACGGGCAGACUAGAGGUAUUCAGGGGAGAACGGAAUUCCUGGUGUAGCGGUGAAAUGCGCAGAUAUCAGGAGGAACACCGGUGGCGAAGGCAGCACUCUGGGACGUGACUGACGCUGAGACGCGAAAGCGUGGGGAGCAAACAGG
rnacentral:rRNA from 1 species